AUAUUCUGGUUUCUCUUCAGAUCGUAUAAAUCUUUCGCCUUUUACUAAAGAUUUCCGUGGAGAGGAACAAGCACGAGUGUCGUGGAAUUUCCAAAAUUUUUUUUUGCAAUAAAU